CUUCGCCCAAUAUAUAUUUUGUUUUGUUCAUCGUAUAGGAAUUAGAUCUUCCGUUUUAAUGCAAAACCAAACCAAAUAACCGUAGCUAAAUGAGCUUACUCUUCGAAUUAAGAUGUUAAGAAUACAGAACUCUGAGAACUGACUACUCAGAUGCCACUGACAAGAUAAAUGAAGGACUUCGUAUUUCGUUGAAUGACAACACCUGAAAUGACGAGUAGAUGAUAUAUAUACAUGGUGACUUAACGUAACAGUUCAAACAUUUUGGUGGUUAUCCCUUGAGUUGCUUUAUCAUAACCAAUUAGCCUAAUUAUAUCAAAAUACAAUAGACACUCCAUGUGAAGAACUUUACAGAAGCCCUUUUGUAAGCAGAAACUGAAACGAAAAUUUUUGUAAGAA